rnacentral:rRNA from 1 species
GAUGAACGCUGGCGGCGUGCCUAAUACAUGCAAGUCGAGCGAACGGACGAGAAGCUUGCUUCUCUGAUGUUAGCGGCGGACGGGUGAGUAACACGUGGAUAACCUACCUAUAAGACUGGGAUAACUUCGGGAAACCGGAGCUAAUACCGGAUAAUAUUUUGAACCGCAGGGUUCAAAAGUGAAAGACGGUCUUGCUGUCACUUAUAGAUGGAUCCGCGCUGCAUUAGCUAGUUGGUAAGGUAACGGCUUACCAAGGCAACGAUGCAUAGCCGACCUGAGAGGGUGAUCGGCCACACUGGAACUGAGACACGGUCCAGACUCCUACGGGAGGCAGCAGUAGGGAAUCUUCCGCAAUGGGCGAAAGCCUGACGGAGCAACGGCGCGUGAGUGAUGAAGGUCUUCGGAUCGUAAAACUCUGUUAUUAGGGAAGAACAUAUGUGUAAGUAACUGUGCACAGCUUGACGGUACCUAAUCAGAAAGCCACGGCUAACUACGUG